rnacentral:rRNA from 1 species
GUGGAUUAGAUACCCUAGUAGUCCACGCCCUAAACGAUGUCUACUAGUUGUCGGGGAUUCGUUUCCUUGGUAACGCAGCUAACGCGUGAAGUAGACCGCCUGGGGAGUACGGCCGCAAGGUUAAAACUCAAAGGAAUUGACGGGGACCCGCACAAGCGGUGGAUGAUGUGGAUUAAUUCGAUGCAACGCGAAAAACCUUACCUACGCUUGACAUGCCAGAGACCCCGCAGAGAUGUGGGGGUGCCCGAAAGGGAAUCUGGACACAGGUGCUGCACGGCCGUCGUCAGCU